rnacentral:tRNA from 1 species
GGGCCAUUAGCUCAGUUGGUAGAGCACCGGACUUUUAAUCCGGGUGUCCCGGGUUCGAGUCCCGGAUGGCUCACCA